rnacentral:snRNA from 1 species
UUGCUUGCGCCGCACAUAUACUAAAACUGGAACAAUAUAGUGGCGAUUAGUAUGGCCCUGCGCAAGGAAGACGCACAAAUUCGUGACGCGAUCCAUAUUUUA